GGGGGCGACCGGUUUCGACAUGUGACGAGACUGAAGUCCUGCAAGUCGUGGUCUCCUAGUUCCACGUUAAAUAUUAGGUAAUGUCAAAUUUAAUUGACAAAACUAACACAAAUGGGGCUUAUGCCCUUGCUGCUUAAAUUAAUAGCAGCACGCUAAUCUCUAUGACUUCCUCUAAUAGGGAGCAGCGUCGUUUUUAGAGGGAUGCUAGUUUGGUAGUUGCUUGAGCUCCAAGCUAAAAGAUUUCUCAAGCACUUGCACAAAUCGCGUGUCAGCUAGCAUGUUUGUGCUCGUAAUGAAUAGUUGACUAAACUUGUAGAUGGGUUUUGGGUUUGUUGUAUGGACCGGAGUUCGAUUCUCCGCGCCUCCACCA
rnacentral:tmRNA from 1 species